UACGAAGGGUGCAAGCGUUACUCGGAAUCACUGGGCGUAAAGCGUGCGUAGGCGGUUGAUUAAGUCUGCUGUGAAAGCCCUGGGCUCAACCUGGGAACUGCAGUGGAUACUGGUCAGCUAGAGUGUGAUAGAGGAUGGUGGAAUUCCCGGUGUAGCAGUGAAAUGCGUAGAGAUCGGGAGGAACAUCUGUGGCGAAGGCGGCCACCUGGACCAACACUGACACUGAGGCACGAAAGCGUGGGGAGCAAACAGG
rnacentral:rRNA from 1 species